UUCUAAGCGUCUGACUGCAUUAUGGAAGGAUCCCUACAGAGAUAGACCUUUUUGUUGAAAAGGAAGAACCUUUUUGUUUAACAUAAACAGCCUCAAAAUCACCAUUACCAAACCCACAAGACUCCAUGUGGAUGAUUAGUACGUUUGGCGUGUAUAGAGCCAUCACAUUUUCGCAUGUAAAUUGAUAAACUGUGUUUAUUUCAAUCAAAACUACAGUUGUGAUGGUUGGAAAAGUGGAAAGAGAAUCCAAUACUGCUUUUCAUAGUUUUAUUUUCUUUGUCGACUUUGAUUUAAGUGUACAAUACAAUGCUAAAAUUACUGUUUAUUUACAUGGAGUCUGAUUGCUUUAGAGCAUGCAAUUUCACGGAUGUUCUUACUCUUUAACAGAAAGUUCGACCUCCUUAGAAAUCCUUUUCAUAAUGUUUUCACUUAGAAUAUAAAUCUGUGCCAGUAGGUGGCAAAACGAGCACUUUUGUGACGGUAAAUAC